UGCAUAAUUAUAUGUGCUAGACUUCUACGUGAGGGCAACACAGGUUUGUUUACAGCCAGGUCACCACAAACAUGAGUCAGUAGGUUUGUUUACAGCCACGUCACUACAAGCAUGAGUCAUGCAUUGCCCUAGGACGGCUAUGAUGUCACUUGGAGAAAGGAAUUUCUCAGCUCCACUGUUAUCUUAUGGGACAACCAUUAUAUAUGCAGUCCGUUGUUGCCCCUAACGUCAUUAUGUGGUGUAUGACUGUAUCUGUGUGUGUGUGUGUGUGUGUGUGUGAACACACAUGUACAUAUAGCUCACAUAUACAGUCACAGUCAUACACACAGGAGGAUGUGUGAGUAUGUGUGCAACUGAGUAUACAGGAGUGCGGGUGAAUGUACAAGAGCACAUGUGAGUGCAUGCAGGUGAGUGUACAGGAGCGUGUGUGAAUGCGUGUGCAGGUGAGUGUACAGGAGUGCAUGUGAGUGUGUGUGCUGAUGAGUGUACAAGAGCGUGUGUGAGUGCAUGCAGGUGAGUGUACAGGAGUGUGUGUGUAUGUGCAGGUGAGUGUACAGGAGCAUGUGUGUGUGCAGGUGAGUGUACAGGAGCGUGAGCGUGUGCGUGUGCAGGUGAGCGUAUAGGAGCAUGUGUGAGUGCGUGUGCAGGUGAGUGUACAGGAACAUGUGGGAGUGCGUGUGUAGAUGAGUAUGAGAGUGAGUGCUUGGGAGCAGAAGUGUGUGUGAGUGUGUUUUGCAUCUCCCCUCUUGCCUUUCGUGGGGCUGGGGCAAACCAGCAGGGCAAGCUGGGCAAGAGCAGCUUGUCCCGGUGCGGUAAGCCAGGCUCCGCCCCUGGUCUCAGCAGGGUUGGAUGGUUCUCAGAUGUUUGCCGCAGCCUGAGUUGCAAUGGACACAGCUGUUGCGUUGUUCGUUCGGGUCUGUUUCCUUUGCAGCCUGUGGGCUCCCCACCCAAUGUAACAUCCUCAGUCGUUCUUUAAAGACCCCCAAAUUCUUGGAAGGGAUGUGGCUGCUGCCCUCAUCCCGACCUUGGCUGGGCUGGGGUCCCAAGGACUGUGUCUCUCCUUCCUUCUUGAGGCAAGAACUGGCUGCUGUGCCUACCCAGGUUUUACUGCCUUCAGGAGCUAUGAGCCUCCGCUCCCUACUGGAUGGGCCGGUGGUCUCAGAGACCCCUAAAACACUUUUCUGCGGGAACCUGAGGGGUUCCCUUUCCAAGGCGCUCUGUGCCUAGCAGUGAUUAAUACUGAGCUUUCUUCGUAAAUCCCAACGGCUAGAAGUGGAGACAGAGGUGUUGUUGUUAGAGAGUGAGGGGUGCCUGCUACCUACUGACACACAACCACUCACCCCCAAACUUAGCAGGUAAGACAGCAACCAUUUUAUCCUCUCUGUUUCUGUGGAUCAGGGAUCCGGGCAGGGCACCAUGAGGAUGGUUGAUUUCUGCUCCCUGGAAGCCUGUCCAGCCUCUGUGAAACCCCAGGCCCCCGCCUCUGUGUGACCC
rnacentral:lncRNA from 10 species